GUUGUGGCUCAGUGGUAGAGUGCUCACCUAGCAUGCGUGAGGCACAGAGUUCGAUCCUUAGCACAACA
rnacentral:tRNA from 1 species